rnacentral:rRNA from 1 species
UACAGAGGGUGCGAGCGUUGUCCGGAAUCACUGGGCGUAAAGGGCGCGUAGGUGGUGGCUUAAGCGUGCGGUGAAAGCUCGGGGCUCAACUCCGAGUCGGCCGUGCGAACUGGGCUCACUGGAGCAUAGUAGAGGCAGGUGGAAUUCCGGGGGUAGCGGUGGAAUGCGUAGAGAUCCGGAAGAACACCGGUGGCGAAGGCGGCCUGCUGGGCUAUGGCUGACACUGAGGCGCGAAAGCGUGGGGAGCAAACAGG